CUUGUAAAACUUUGCAGGGAAGCAAAGACAAUUCAUGAAUGAGUUUGAAUUUCGAAUCUGUGGCUCUGGUCAGCUGGGGCUAAAAUAUCAGCUGUGAUGAACAAGAGGCCAGAAACAUUAAAGUGAACUUUUGUUUUGCCGGGACAAUCCAUGUUGGUCAUCUAAAGCCGGAGCUUAGAAGUCAGCUGCAGCUAAGAAGAGACCAGCAUCAUCGAGGAACAGGACAGUACAUGGGAAAUGGGGACCAGAGGGAGCCAAGGCUGCUCACUGUGCUGGCAGCUGAAGAUGGUAAUGCAUAAGAGCCACCCAGGCUGUGCUGGUUUUGAGGUCAUGGGUGAGUCUUGGAGAGCAGCUGAGGUUUGGCACUGUACAGCAGGGCCAGAGUUUCUGAGGAGAAGCCUCUGGUGAAGGUGCAGCCUCACCUCCAGUAGAGACUCCAGCAUGUUGACGCUAUCAGUAGCAUGAUAGCACUGUCAAGGACAGCAGCAGCUGUGGCGUGGAAUCCACCUGAGCCUAUGCCACAGGCUGUAUGUGUUGUGGAUCGCUGAACAAGAGAAGUGGGCAGCUCAGGCUCUUUGGAGACCAGAAGAUUAUGAGAGUCCACAGUUGAGAGACUUUGAACUUCUAAAGAUGUUUAGGGAAGAGCACACUGGCUGUCCAGUGCCACAGGACCAACCCUGAAAACAUACAUACAAGUAGCACUACAGACUGAACAGAAAUAAUGGAAGGCCAGAUAGGUGAUACUUUUGUUCAUAUACAGCUCAGAAUCCUGUGACUUCUCUCUGUGGG